AUGCAGACUCAUGCAAAUAAUUGCCAUCUUCACAUCUCCAUUUGGAUACCAAAGACAGACUCUUGCUCUGUCACCCAGGCUGGAGUGCAAUGGUGCUAUCUUGGUUCACUGCAACCUCUGCCUUCCGGGUUCAAGCGAUUCUCCUCCUCAGCCUCCUGAGUAGCUGGGAUUACAGGUGCGUGCCACCAUGCCUGGCUAUUUUUUUUUUUUUUUUGUAUUUUUAUUAGAGAUGGGGUUUCACCAUGUUGGCCAGGCUGGUCUCCAACUCCUGAACUUGUGAUCUGCCUGUGUCAGCCUCCCAAAGUGCUGGGAUUACAGGAAUGAGCCACCACACCCAGCCGAUUUCUUUCCUAAAAAAUGGAAAUGAUUGAUCACACUACCUGCUUCACAGGAUUCUGUGAGGAUUAAGUGAGAUCAUGUUUAUAAAUACUUAGUACAAUUUCUGUACCUAAGAAGUGUCCAAUGAAAGUUAGCUAUGGUUGAUGAAAUUAUUCUGAUGAUGACAAUGAUUCCCUAGAAUGAGGUUAAGAGUUUCUAGUCGCCUGGCAUGGGGGCUCAAACCUGUAAUCCCAGAACUUUGGGAGGCCAAGGCAGGCAGAUCACCUGAGGACAGGAGUUCGAGACCAGCGUGGCCAACAUGGUGAAACCCUGUCUCUACUGAAAAUACAAAAAUUGGCUGUGUGUGGUGGUGUGUGCCUGUAAUCUCAGUUAUUAGGAGGGCUGAGGCAGGAGAAUUGCUUGGAACCGGGAGGCGAAGUUUCCAUCAGCUGAGAAAGCGCCACUGCACUCUUGCCUGGGCCUCAAGGUGAGACUCUGUCUCAAAAAAAAGGAGUUUCUAGUCCAAGUAUUUUUCAGCUAAAUAAAGGGAAUCAAGCUUUUGAUUUUCAUUAUUAAAUAUUGUAUCAUUCCUUUUCCAUUUGCUGGAAAAUUUCAGAAAGUAAACUUUCUAAUGCAAGAUUUAAAGCAGUUAUAUGAGAGACAUAGGAAUUCCUUGCCAAAACAACAUUGUAUAGUAGAAACAUUAGCAACUGUUUCUCUUAUAAAUGAUUCAAAUUGGCCACCUCAUAAACUGUAAUGCUCUGACAAAAAUCAUCAUGGAAAUCUUUUCAGUAUUUCCACCAUGGGCCCUGUAGCUUUCAACUUUACGUAAAAGAUUACUGAAGCCAAUAGAAAACGGGAUUUGAGAAAGUGUUCUUUGGAUCCUAAAGGCAGAUAAUAUUUCUAUUUAUGGGGAAUGAAUAUCUAUCUUGAGUGGACAAAAUCUAUUUGCCUGAUAGUUGAGGGUAGAAUGCGAAAACUAAAAACAUUUUAAAAAAUUAUUGUAACAUAUAAUUUUUCUAUCUAUUUAUUUAUUUAUUAUUUUUAGACAGAGUCUCGCUUUGUUGCCCAGGCUGGAGUGCAGUGGCGAGAUCUUGGCUCAUUGCAACCUCUACCUCUCGGGUGCAAGUGGUUCUCUUGCCUCAGCCUUCUGAGUAGCUGGGAUUACAAGCAUGAGCCACUGCACUGUGCCACUGCCUGUGACAUACAAUAUAAAUACAGAGCAAUACAAAAACAACUAGGCACCACCCAGGCCAAGAGAUAAAAUUAUUACCUGGGAAACAUCAGAUCAGGAAAGAGAAUAUUGCCCUAGAACUUCUUCAUGUGCUGUCUCAAUCAUAAUACUACACUUUUGCUCCUGGAGAAAAUGGUUAAUCUGAUGUUCAUUCUUUCAGCAGAAGAUAUGAUGAUUUGAUAUUAAUCCUAGUUGGCCAUUUCUGGAAAUGGAAGAUGUGGAUUUUAGAGAUUCCUCUCAAAUCUUAUCAUUCAGGAAUGAGCUCAAAAGCAGAGGUCAAUAUGAAUACAAUCCUAUACAGGUAAGGAAAUAAGAGAGAGACACUGAAUUGAAGGCCAUGGUGCAUUAGACAAAACUCAGUUGAUUUGAAUGAAGAGAAAAAAAUCUUGAAAAAAAUAGCUAUGUAAUAUUCAUAAAUCUCCCCACCCCAGAUAAAGUCUAGUGGCUUAGGGAAUUAUUCAUGGCUUGCUCUUUCCUUGAAACUGUCUGAUAUUAAUAAAACCUCCUUCCUUCUCUCUCCUCUCCUGUGCCUCCUCAAAUCUCACUCACUCACUCACUCACUCACCCACCCACUCAGUCACCCACUCAGUCACUCACUCACUCACUCAGCAAUUCUACAGGGGACUUACUGAAUUUUACUUCUGAAUUUCAAAUUUCAUUAUAAACAAAGAUCCCUUUUCCUAUUGAUUUUUUCCCAGUUUUCUGGAAGCUCUAAAUGAUUCUUGGCUUCUCUACAAUAAUUUCAGAAUAAUCUCUUGUUUUUCUCCCUCUUUGGAGCUUUUUAAAACAAAUCCCCAUAAUUGUGUCUAGCAUAAAGCCUUCAUUCUAGUCUUUAAAGCCACUUAAUGGUUUUAGAAAUGUUUUCUUUAGAUUUGUGUUGGCUCUAUUUUUAAAGCAAGUAAAAACAAGCAAUUCAAAUAUUUAAUUUAUUUGUAUUAACAAGAAGACCCAGGGAAAAAAAUUCUUCCUUCCUGAGAGUAAAAGAUCUAAGUGACAAUAACAUUAUUGCUUCAAACAUAAUUCCAUAAAAUAUAAGACUAGCCUUUCUUAAGAGACAAGCAUCCUAUAUAAAUAGCAGUGCUAUUCAGCUGCGCUGUGUUAGGUGAAACGAAUCUCUCCUUCUC
ensembl:lncRNA